GACGAACGCUGGCGGCGUGCUUAACACAUGCAAGUCGAACGGAAAGGCCCUGCUUUUGUGGGGUGCUCGAGUGGCGAACGGGUGAGUAACACGUGAGUAACCUGCCCUUGACUUUGGGAUAACUUCAGGAAACUGGGGCUAAUACCGGAUAGGAGCUCCUGCUGCAUGGUGGGGGUUGGAAAGUUUCGGCGGUUGGGGAUGGACUCGCGGCUUAUCAGCUUGUUGGUGGGGUGGUGGCUUACCAAGGCUUUGACGGGUAGCCGGCCUGAGAGGGUGACCGGCCACAUUGGGACUGAGAUACGGCCCAGACUCCUACGGGAGGCAGCAGUGGGGAAUAUUGCACAAUGGGCGGAAGCCUGAUGCAGCAACGCCGCGUGCGGGAUGACGGCCUUCGGGUUGCAAACCGCUUUCGCCUGUGACGAAGCGUGAGUGACGGUAAUGGGUAAAGAAGCACCGGCUAACUACGUG
rnacentral:rRNA from 1 species